GUGCCAGCAGCCGCGGUAAUACGGGGGGAGCAAGCGUUAUCCGGAAUUACUGGGCAUAAAGGGCACGUAGGCGGAUUAAUAAGUCAGUUUUAAAAUACAGCAGCUUAACUGUUGAUUGGGAGCUGAAACUGUUAACCUUGAGUGCGAGAGAAGGAAGUGGAAUUCCUGGUGUAGCGGUGAAAUGCGUAGAUAUCAGGAGGAACACCGGUGGCGAAGGCGGCUUCCUAGCUCGUAACUGACGCUAAGGUGCAAAAGCGUGGGUAGCAAACAGGAUUAGAUACCCUGGUAGUCCACGCUGUAAACGAUGUAUACUUGAUGUUGGGGGAUCUAACCCCCUCAGUAUCGUAGCUAAUGCGAUAAGUAUACCGCCUGGGGACUACGGUCGCAAGGCUGAAACUCAAAGGAAUUGACGGGGGCCCGCACAAGCGGU
rnacentral:rRNA from 1 species